UGCCACGCUCCGUGUAUUUGACAAGCUGAGUUGGACACUCCAUGUGGUAGAGUGUCAGUUUGUCAAAUACCCCAAGUGCGGCAUG
ncrna:Eptesicus fuscus (big brown bat) microRNA efu-mir-223 precursor